UACGGAGGGUGCGAGCGUUGUCCGGAAUCACUGGGCGUAAAGGGCGCGUAGGCGGCGCGGGAAGUCCGUGGUGAAAGCCCGAGGCUCAACUUCGGGUCGGCCAUGGAUACUCCUGGGCUUGAGCACUGUAGAGGCAGGUGGAAUUCCGGGUGUAGCGGUGGAAUGCGUAGAGAUCCGGAAGAACACCAGUGGCGAAGGCGGCCCGCUGGGCAGUGGCUGACGCUGAAGCGCGACAGCGUGGGGAGCAAACAGG
rnacentral:rRNA from 1 species